AAUAGUGUAAAGGUAUCACAUCUGACUCUGACUCAGAAGAUAUAGGUUCGAUUCCUGUUUCG
rnacentral:tRNA from 1 species